rnacentral:tRNA from 1 species
GUUCCCAUAGUUCAAUGGAUAGAACGCGGGUUUCCUAAACCUGAAAUGACAGUUCGAUUCUGUCUGGGAAUA